AAGAUUACACCAUAACCAAAGACUGAAAUAAAUCGAAAUGUCAAUUUUUAUCUGUCUUUCAAAAAUUAUUACAAAAAACUAAUUUUAAAACAGAAGAUACCUAAAAUCAAAAGCGGAUAGAACAAUAAAUAUAUCAAAAGCUAUCCCCAACAAAUUUGCGUUCAAUAUUGAAGUUGGACUUGAAAACUACAUCCCUUUAAGAUACAGUUAAAGCAAGAAUUUGAAGAAAAUAAUAACAUUUGAGAAGGACAAUAAAUUAAUCAAUAUUUACAAAGUGUUUUCUUUUUUUCAUAACAACUUUGAAAGUGCAAAAAUUUAUCGCUCACUCUGUAAUAUUAGGUACUUUGGGUAACUAAAAUUUUUUACUUUCAUUGUAGAAACGAUCCACAGAAACUGACUUAACAGAAAAAAGCGAACCUGAAAAAGAAUGCUUCAAAAAUAGAGAUCCUCCAUGGUCAGCUGAUGCAUAUUUUAAUGAAAAAUUUAUAAUUAUCAAUUCAAAUGAUUUCAUUGGAAAUUAUUUUCUGAUAUUCUUUUAUCCAUUUGAUUGUGGCGAACUGCCACAUGUUGCACCCUCCUUGGAAAUAGAAUUUUUCCAUAAACAUUUUGAAGAGCUUCAAUGAUGUAAUACUAAUGUUGUAGGCUGUUCCGUCGAUUCCAUUUAUGCUCAUAAGCUUUAUAUGAACGAGAUAUUGAAAAAAAAAAAUAAAUCUAUAGAUAAAUUAUCAUUUUCCCUAAUUGGAGAUUCUGACCUUAAGAUCUGCCAAUUGUUCAAUGUGAUACAUCCCAACUUACAACAUUCUUACAGGGCGGUGAUACUUUUCAAUUCGGAAGGGGAAAUUAUUCUAUACAACAUUCUCACUGUCAAUCAUGUAAUGGUUUUGACAAAUGUUUUCAAUUUUAUUCAUGCUCAAAAAAUUUCACGUUAGAAAAAAUUUUUAUUUAUAUUUCAAUCAUGAAAAUUGAUUGAUUAUAUUUGAUUGUUGAAAAUGUUCAUGAAUUGAGGCAAUUUUUUAAAGUUCGUUCAUUAUAAUUUUAGGUAUUGUUAAAAAUGUGUUAUUAAUAAAAUUUUUUUUUCCAAUCUGAAAAA